AUACGGAGGGUGCAAGCGUUACUCGGAAUCACUGGGCGUAAAGCGCGCGCAGGCGGCUUGAUAAGUUGGAUGUGAAAGCCUACGGCUCAACCGUAGAACUGCAUCCAAAACUGUCAAGCUAGAGUCUGGGAGGGGAAGAUGGAAUUAGUUGUGUAGGGGUAAAAUCCGUAGAGAUAACUAGGAAUACCAAAAGCGAAGGCGAUCUUCUGGAACAGUACUGACGCUGAGGCGCGAAAGCGUGGGGAGCAAACAGGAGUAGAAACCCUAGUAGUCC
rnacentral:rRNA from 1 species